rnacentral:rRNA from 1 species
CCCUUAGAUGCUCUGGGCCGCGCGCGCGCUACACUGGUCGAUGCAACGAGUUUCUUUCCUUGGCCGACAGGCCUGGGCAAUCUUUGAACAUCGAUCGUGAUCGGGAUAGAUUCUUGUAAUUUUUGAUCUUAAACGAGGAAUUCCUAGUAAACGCAAGUCAUCAGCUUGCAUUGAUUACGUCCCUGCCCUUUGUACACACCGCCCGUCGCACCUACCGAUUGAAUGGUCCGGUGAAAUCUCCGGACUGGCGUGAGUCGGAGCAAUCUGACAAACACCGGAAAGUUGAUUAAACCUUACCAUUUAGAGGAAGGUGAAGUCGUAACA